UACGGAGGGUGCAAGCGUUGUUCGGAAUCACUGGGCGUAAAGCGCGUGUAGGCGGCCAUCUAAGUCUGGUGUGAAAUCCCCAGGCUUAACCUGGGAACUGCGUGUGAUACUGGAUGGCUUGAAUUCGGGAGAGGGAUGCAGAAUUCCAGGUGUAGCGGUGAAAUGCGUAGAUAUCUGGAGGAAUACCGGUGGCGAAGGCGGCAUCCUGGACCGACAUUGACGCUGAGGAGCGAAAGCUAGGGGAGCAAACGGG
rnacentral:rRNA from 1 species